UUAGAGUGUCGGUGCAUAACUUCAUCCACGUCUGAUCGGGAGAAGCCGGUGCGAAUCCGGCGCUGACCCGCAACCGUGAGUACGGCCCACCGGGACCGUACGAGCCGGAGCGCCCGGAUCGGACGUGACAGGCUC
rnacentral:ncRNA from 2 species